AACGAUUCGCGCAACGCCAUCUAGGGGCGAUCGGCGCCCCAUUGCCUCCGUGUGUGGCCUUGAACUUGACUGUACACGUCGCGAGCGACCCACUUUUGCGGCGCGUCCCCGCGCCCCGCCGGCAGUCGCGCGCAUUGUCACGGCCGAGCCACCUGAAUGGAUCUUAGUCGAUAUAAGGCGUAUAUUCGCGUGGCGCGGACGAACACUCUCGUUUUCACCGUACUGUGUUACGUCACGUUGCACGUUACAUCACUGGAUUAUCUUGCACACGUUCAGCGCGGACGAUAGCAGGACAGAAACUUCUCACGAAUGUAAUAGCGCUGUGAUGGACUUCGGAGCCCUACUGCGUCGUUAUCAAGUUCAAAGUAUAGCCAGUCUGUUGCGUGGCGUACGCACGAUAUUAAUGAUGCUGCAAAUCAGAGAGCACGUGAAAUCACUGCAUCUACUCAAGCAAAGCUGAUUAGAGUCCAUAAUUACAAACAAAUUAAGGAGUAAAACUUGACAGCGGACGAACUAUUAGGUCUUAUUACCGCACCAUCGAAGACAAACGUAUUUAAUAUAAACCUAAAUACAGUACAAGGAAGAUCCUAUCUUUGAUAAUCUUGCGGCGGAAUAAAGCAGUCAAACGAAAUAUUAGUCUUUGUUCCAUAGUUAGUCACGCCAUCUAGAUAUGGUAAACAAUAUUAAUAGACAGUUUCAAUGCAAAAGGCUGCAGAUUGAAAUGCCGCCAAAAUGGCAUGAUUCAUUUUGUGGCCAUGUUAUCAUCUGGGUAACCCUUUCCUAAGUAUAAAGCAUAUAAAACUGUCGAAAAAACUACUGUCCAUGUCAUGACGUGGAUUUUAAUGAAAAACGGGACAAAAAACGGGGGGAAAAGAGGAAACCAGACAUUACAAAAAUAAUAUGCACCUAAAAUUCCGGUACAGAUAAUGCCUUCAAUAUUGCUAUAGAAUACAAACGAACAUCCUAGACAACAAAAAACUGUAUUUGAUAAGAAAACAACUAAGUACCCAUACGUCCUUCGACGCAUAAAGCACCCAGCUACUUUUACACGUGUAAAAUUCUGUCGCGGAAAGAUAAGCUGACCAACCUUGAUUCUCAAUGAUACAGCGAAUAUCAUUGAUUUAUUAAACAAAAAAGCCGAACUUACCUGAGAUAUAAUUAAAGAUGCGAGCAUACUUUAAAAGAACAAAGAACCUUCACUUGCACGUGGAGCGAAAACUGGUAGAUUGCGCCAACCUUGGCUUUUUAUAUAGUCCAAAACUUAUCAACCACAACCGCCAAAACCGUGUGAUAACCUUUUAUACAUAAUAUAAUUACCACAAUGGGCCAUCGCAAUAAUAAUUAUUACAUAAGGAAAUAUGUGUGUGAACAAAACAAAUAUAAGACUGUAGUGGACUUCUACAUAAUCAGGGCUUGGAAAAAAGGAGCUUGCCAAUAUUGAGAAGCUGAAAAGUCCUACUAAUAUUACAAUUGCGAAAGUUUGUAAGUAUGUCUGUUUGUUGCUCUUUAACGUAAAAACAACUGAAUGGAUCUUGAAAGAAUACAGCAGUCAUAAAGCCAAAAUAUCAUAAAAAAGGCAUUAAACAUUCACUUUUUAUUUAAGUACAGGAAAUGGUUCCUUCGGGACGCGGGGGUGGAAGAUAGUUUAAAAUAAAUAUUGGAUUCCAACCAAGAAAUGAUGACAAGGCAAGCUAAGUAGAACAAAUGACUAAUCGCUUCCAGCAUAUACCUAGAGUGAACCAAAGUUGGUAACGGAAAGAUCGAACAGUGGAGUGGUAUUAGGCCUCAUAAAACACAAGGAAAUUACAAGAAAUGUUUACAAGGAAAGAAAUUACGUUCCACCAUCUACAUUUAUACGUGUCAGGAUAUGCAGAAACUGGAUAUUUUCGUCCUAUGUUCUUCCAUUAUUUAUUUCUGCACUUUAAGGAGCAAAAGCAGAGCAAGCAGAGCAGUAGAGCAACACAGAUUAUCAAAAGUCAGAAUAAAAAUCUUGUAGCGUCACUAUCAAUAAAAUUCAUAUUUUUCAUAGAUCAAUUGAUAGUGAAUAUUUUCUUUGACUUCUCGCUACUAGAUAACCUCGUCAAGAACAUGUAAUAUUUUGGUGGUUCUACAGGCCAAAAUUAAGUCUUUCCAAGCCUUGCGAGGAAAUACCUCAGCUUGAAAGCGGCCUUUCUCCAGCAGUGGACCUGGGUCGAACGGGUACAGAUGUCAUCUUUAUUGGAACAAAAUAAUACUACAUUCAAAAGUGAAAUUUCGUGCAUGACGCAUACUCCUCACGUACGCCAUAUAGCACUAGGUUGUGACGAAGCAAAGUCCAAAAAAGGCGUUAAUCAAACGUAACCUUUUUAUGUCUUUCAUAGCAGACUCAACAUCAAACGCGUAGUUCCGAUUGCAAGGGCUUACGGUACCCUAUCCUGGUCACUGGCCUUAUUUUCCGAGAAAAAACGAAUAUUUUGUUAGCUUGACUGACACGCAUUGUUAGAACGGCCAUGAAAAUGCAGCAUGAUAAUUAAGUUUACAUGGAUGAUUUUAUUGGUUACAGAUUUUUUUCAUGUACCUAUUUGCACAUUUAACUAAAAAUAUUUUGCACUUAUAACUUAGUAAUAUUGAUUGAUAUUUUUAACCUCUAAUGGACACACUCAGAGACAUUUAAUGGUUACUUAAGCCAUUCCUUAGUGAUGGAUUUCUAUGACAAUCCGUCACCAAGGAGUGACUUAAGUAAUCAUUAAAUGUCUCUGAGUGCGGGCGUUAGUUUUUAAAUUGUUUUGUUCCAUAAACGAAGGAGGGAGGGAGAGGGGGGAGAAGUCUGUUUAUUUAUAUGUAUUAAUACGCUAAAGCACCAUACAUUUAGUAAUAAGCUAUUUUUGUUAAUCUCAUUUUAAGUGAACCAUGAUCUUAUGAGAAAUAAACUUCUUAAAGCCUAAGUAUGUGUUCUGACACCAUUACUGAAACUAGGACUAUGCCAAUGGCGCCCAGGCAUAGAACACAGGACCAGGGAACAUAGUUCACAAGCAGCAAGAACAAACUGUGGUUUUAAGACAAGGAUACAAAUUGAGAAACUCAACUUCCAUACUGCAUACCUCAAGAGGAUCUUCAUCAAGAGGUUCAUCAAAUGUGAUUCUUAGCAUAUUUAUAUAUAUUUUUUUUUUCAACAUAAAAGUUGGUAAAAAGUUUUGAUUUCAUAUGGCACCAAUUAGCAGGCUGGAAGCCUAGUCUUAAUUUAAAAUUUGGAGUGAUGAUGCAGGCUGCCCACGACAGGUUUGUUAGGGGAUUUUCGGCAGUACACCAAUUAGCUGAUAUGAUGAUGAUGAUGAACCAAAUCUUGUCUUUGUCUCCAGACAGUAGUAAAUUGAACCCCUUAUAUAAAACUUACCUCAACAAUAGCAGCAAGAUGCUCCUGGCUGCCUUUCACAUAUAUCUCCUGAAUUUAUAAUGCUGUUGACCAUCAGUGUAUGUCGAGACAUAGCAAAAUGCCACCUGAAAACAUUCAAAGACAAUUAUAUUUUUUACUUCAUAUAGUCACACAUUUGUAAGUUUAACAAAUGUUUUCUUCUUCUACUUUCCUACCUUCUACUUUUGAAGCUUAAAAGCUAUGUUUCGAAUUUAACUAACCGCAGUGGUUAAUAUUAUUAAAUCCAAUACCACAAGAUAUUACUUCAACUGUCCAGCCUUGUUGGGGUCAGAUCCUGUCUACCUACCUACUGACUAGAACCCAGUCACUCCACAACCCAGUUAAACGGGCAAUCCUUUUGUGAUACUGGAUGGCAGACAUACAAGAUAUAGACUUAACAACUAAUACAUAAAGGUGACAAUUGUCUUGUAUUCGAUUUAGACCGUCUUUCUCGUAUAUAUUACGUAUUAGUCUAGAAUUCUAGAUUAAGUUAACUCCUAUGAUUAUUAUUUUUGAGAUUUAUUUACUGCUAUUACAACUGAGCUAUUUGUAUUUGUACAUGUUGAACUAUGUUUUUAAUAAAUGUAUUUUUAUUUUAUUUUAA